rnacentral:rRNA from 1 species
AAGGAAUGUUGGACAAUGGAGGCAACUCUGAUCCAGCCAUGCCGCGUGAAGGAAUAAGGCCCUAUGGGUUGUAAACUUCUUUUAGACGGGACAAAACCCCUUUACGUGUAAAGGGUUGAUGGUACUGUCAGAAUAAGCAUCGGCUAACUUCGUGCCAGCAGCCGCGGUAAUACGAAGGAUGCAAGCGUUAUCCGGAAUUAUUGGGUUUAAAGGGUGCGUAGGCGGACUAAUAAGUCAGUGGUGAAAGCCUGCAGCUUAACUGCAGAAUUGCCAUUGAUACUGUUAGUCUUGAGUACAGUUGAGGUAGGCGGAAUGUGUCAUGUAGCGGUGAAAUGCUUAGAUAUGACACAGAACACCGAUUGCGAAGGCAGCUUGCUAAGCUGUAACUGACGCUGAGGCACGAAAGCGUGGGGAGCAAAC